UAAGUGUAGAGUACACGAGCGGCGGACGGGUGAGUAACACGUGGGAAUCUACCCCAAACUGAGGGAUAAGCACCGGAAACGGUGUCUAAUACCGCAUAUGGCUUCGGAUUAAGGCUUCGGCGGUUUGGGAAGAGCCCGCGUAAGAUUAGCUAGUUGGUGAGGUAAAGGCUCACCAAGGCGACGAUCUUUAGCUGGUUUGAGAGGAUGAUCAGCCACACUGGAACUGAGACACGGUCCAGACUCCUACGGGAGGCAGCAGUUAGGAAUUUCCACAAUGGGCGCAAGCCUGAUGGAGCAACGCCGCGUGCAGGAUGAAGGUUUUCGGAUUGUAAACUGCUUUAUGUGUGAAGAAUAUGACGGUAACACAUGAAUAAGGAUCGGCUAACUCCGUG
rnacentral:rRNA from 1 species